AGAGUUUGAUCAUGGCUCAGGACAAACGCUGGCGGCGUGCCUAACACAUGCAAGUCGAGCGAGAAGGGAGCUUCGGCUCCUGGAAAGCGGCGAACGGGUGAGUAACACGUGGGCAACCUGCCUCAAGGAUUGGGAUAACGUCGGGAAACCGACGCUAAUACCGAACGAUGUCGUCCGGCGCAAGCCGGCCGACCAAAGGGUAGCUUCGGCCUCCGCCUUGAGAUGGGCCCGCGUCCUAUCAGCUUGUUGGUGAGGUAACGGCUCACCAAGGCUACGACGGGUAGCUGGUCUGAGAGGAUGAUCAGCCACACUGGGACUGAGAUACGGCCCAGACUCCUACGGGAGGCAGCAGUGGGGAAUUUUGCGCAAUGGGCGAAAGCCUGACGCAGCAACGCCGCGUGAGCGAAGAAGGCCUUCGGGUUGUAAAGCUCUGUCAGGGGGAAAGAAGGCACCUGGGUUAAUAGCCCAAGGGCUGACGGUACCUCCAAAGGAAGCCACGGCUAACUACGUGCCAGCAGCCGCGAUAAUACGUAGGUGGCGAGCGUUGUCCGGAAUUAUUGGGCGUAAAGAGCGCGUAGGUGGCUUGUUAGGUCUGAUGUGAAAUCUUGGGGCUCAACCCCAAGCGUGCAUUGGAAACCGGCUUGCUAGAGUCUGGGAGAGGAGAGUGGAAUUCCUGGUGUAGCGGUGAAAUGCGUAGAUAUCAGGAGGAACACCGGUAGCGAAGGCGGCUCUCUGGAACAGUACUGACGCUGAGGCGCGAAAGCUAGGGGAGCGAACAGGAUUAGAUACCCUAGUAGUCC
rnacentral:rRNA from 1 species